rnacentral:rRNA from 1 species
GACAGAGGGGGCAAGCGUUGCUCGGAAUCACUGGGCGUAAAGGGCGCGUAGGCGGGAUGGCAAGUCGGUCGUGAAAUCCCUCGGCUCAACCGAGGAACGUCGGCCGAUACUGCCGUUCUUGAGGGAUGCAGAGGAGACUGGAAUUCCCGGUGUAGCGGUGAAAUGUGUAGAGAUCGGGAGGAACACCGGUGGCGAAGGCGGGUCUCUGGGCAUCUCCUGACGCUGAGGCGCGAAAGCGUGGGGAGCAAACGGGAUUAGAAACCCCCGUAGUCC